rnacentral:lncRNA from 11 species
UAUUCCCAGUGAUUUGCAUGUUUUAAACUACAAAAACAGGGUUUCCUUAGUGGUGUCUGCCUCAGCAUUCGGUCUUGAAUAUUAAGCCUGUGUUUACCUUCCAGUGACCAGCAAGAUAUGAAGCUGAGAGAAAGCAUAGGCUCAGACAAACACAUCUGCAUCAAUUCCUCUUUUUGAACCUACUGGUAUUUCUGUCACAAAGAAGACUCACACAUCUUUCUGGAGAAAGAGAUUCUUUAUCUCUCAUUGUUACUGUCAUUUAACCAGAUACGUCUGUGGAAAGGCUGCCGAAGGAAUUUCUUACAGAAGAAAUGGAUUUCCUGUCCCAGCUCGAAACAUCUUUCAUUCUCCGGGCAUCUCCACUGCCAUCUCUCUUUCACUCUGCUUUGCCACAUUAAAAACCAGCUUAGUCUGUUUGCUCUUGAUCCUUUUCGCCUUAAAGCAGAAACAGCAUGUUUUAAGAUUGUUGUAACAAGAUAUGUUGAAGUGCAAAGGAGCCAGAUAAGCC